rnacentral:sRNA from 1 species
UAGUUACUAGACUGGAACCUCAAGUAGCUGCAACCACUAGAAACUCCUCCGGUGGUUCCCUACUCCCUGGUCUCUCCAGAGGGAAGGUCACCUUCUACACUUAACUACCAUGCUCAUUCAUCCGGACGAAAUGCCCAGUCCACUGUCUUCUUCACGCGUUAUUCUCCAGGACCGGGCUCCUCCGCCGCGCACGUUAUUUCCUGUAGAGCGGGCACGAAAUUAAGCACCUUGAGGACCAGCGGUAGACACAGAUUAUCUCCUGUUCCAAGCACGUCUCCCACUAGGAACUUUUUUCACUUGUCACGCUUCUGCUGCUUUUUGAGGAAAACAGGUGAUAUUUGGUUUCCUGCCAGAGUCUUCGUCACUCUCGUAGCUAUGAUGUCUGAGUAAAAAUAGCUCACAUUUUUGCUUAAAAAAUAACGGCCGCGCAAAUUUAUGGUUAGAUUUGUCUCAAGUCUGAAGACCGCGCAUCCUAACUAGUGAGGCGGAAGACACCUAAGGAGCGAGGAGCUGUCGCCGAGGCGAGGCUGCGGAGACGUUCGCUUGCUGGGCCGCGGGACCACCCACCCCGCCAGGAACUCAGUCCGCUCACCCUAAGAAGUUUGGGGCAACUGGACUGCUCCACCGCCAGCUUCCGGACCCACUCCUUGGCGAGCGCAGGAACUCGCUCUCCCAGCAUGCCCCGCGCGGUGCGCCUCUCGGCGCGUUCCGGGUCCUGUGACAGCUCGGCUCGCAUGCCCCACCCACGGCCCCACCCGCGGCCCCACCCCCUGGCUCCCGGCUCCUUCCCCGACUCCCGCGAGUUCCAGUCCCAGCUUCCAGCUCCCCAGCCCCGCCCUCAGCCGCGCGCGCUCUCCCCGCCCCGCCCUCGCUCCUUCGCGUGCGGCCCCCACAGCCAAUGAGGUUCAGGGCCGCGUGCGCAGAUUCAAACGGCGGCUCUUGAGGGAGGCUGGGCGCGAGAUUCGGCGGUGCGGACAAAACCCUGCAGGAGACUGCGAGCCCUGCAGAACUGCUAGCUGCGGGGGAGAGGGCAGGGGUCGGGCGCCUGUGGCGGAGCCGGGCUGGGACCGGGGCGGGGAGGCUGACAAGCGGCGGGAGAAGCCGGCGGAGGGCGGGAUUGCGCCUCCUGACAUGGUGGGGGCAUCCGUGGCCGGGCCGGGCCGGGGCUAAGAGCGGCGCUGCGGGCCGGGGUCGGGGGCGGGUCGCGGUCCGCCCCCGCUGUCCCUCCGUCCUGCCCUGUCGAGGACGUGCGUUCCGCACUCGGCUGCCUCCAGAAGGAGCGAGGGAAGCGGCUAGAGGAUCGGGGAGAAGGAGCAUUCGCCGGAGGCUGGAGGAGGCUGACCCGCGUCCCCGCCCAGCCUGCUCCUAUGCGGUACUUGAAGGAUGGCGAAGAGGUCGCGCAGGUGGGUGGCACCCCUUUCGCCCAGGCCUGUCGGCGCCGUCUCGGCUCAGAUUCUCUUUCCUAUCCCGCUGCCCCCUCCCGCCAUAAGGCCCUCCCCGGCGAGGGCAGAGGUUUUUCUUCCCGCGUCUCCGCGGCCGCUUGGCCUCGAUGGCCGGAGCGCAGCUGCGACGUAUGGAGAGUUGGGGACCAGGGUGUUUGAGGCGCGGGACGUAAGAGAUGCCCAGGUUUCUCGGUGGCUCUCCCCACAAUGCGCGUCCAGAUUCCUGACCUCACGCUGCCGCUUCCUCGAGGCAGGUUUCUUGCCAGGUAAGUCGAGCGCUUUUAGGGAGUUCGCUACGCAGAGAAAACUGGCUGUGUCCUGCCGCGAGGACUUGAAAAUGGUGUUCGGGCGACUCUUUUCUGAAUGAUGGUACAGUCAAAAUAGGAACUACGCGGUGAACCUGGGCGGCCACCCCUCUGCCAGCUUGGCUAUCUUGAAACGUUGUGGAAAAUCAUCUGGGGAAUAGCUGAGAGGACUUUUUUGAUGUUUUCUGUAAUUCCUAUACCCAUAUUCUCAGCUUUAUGUAUAUAUAUAUAUUUUAAUAUCCUCUAUUGGGACCAUGUCACAUAGUAACAACUAGUAGUAACAACUAGUAGCUUGAUCUUAAAAUAAAACAAUGUGUUUGAUUCACUUAA